CCCACACAGCACGCCCGGCAGCCUUUGGUGUCCUGGAUCUUGGUGGAGACCAUGUUCUUCCUGAAGAAGACAUGGGAUACUGGGUUUGAACUGAAGACCUUGAACUUGCUAUGCAGGCACACCUGAGAGAGACAUGAGGACGUUGUUGAUGGAGUACACCCAGGUAGUCCGGCUGGGAAAGAGCUGCAGAGAGUGGGGAUGGCCUGUUAGCACCCCGAGGUCCCC